CCCAGCAGCAGACCCAACAACGAUGGGCCGAGGUCGCCCUGCCCGUCACACAAAAGCAACUGGCCGCCGCAGCUGUCCGCCUUGAGGAAGCCUUGGUGGAAGCAACAGCCGACCUGCAUUCCGCAACAAGGCAGGCAACGCAAUCAAUUGAACAUGCACUCACAAGGCACAGCAUGGACCCCACAGGCUACCCCGCCAGCGUCAUGCACCGAGACCUGGCGCAGGACACGAGCAUCCAGAAGGCCGAUAUCAACCAACUUGCAGAACAACUUGCCUCCGCACUGGACACCGGGCUAACAUGCCUCCUUGAAGAGUGCACCCGGAAAGCCCCCUUCACUGGCAAACACCACGCAUCACGCUCCACCGCACGGGUGCUAAAGCCCCUAUGGGACAAGGAAGUGGCCCUGAAGACACAACUGACAAAUCUCACGCAAGGGCCCCAGGUCCUACCUGAGGUAGACGCCGCCAAUGCAGCAGCAAAGCUGCGGAACGAAAUAAAGGCCUGCCAGGCCGAGCACCGCCAGCUAGUGGGGGACCGCGCCAAAGCCCAGCGAGAGGCCGCUGCCACAGCGCUGCAACAUACCCUGGCCACGCGCCCUGCACAGGGGCACAAGAGAAUCUUUCAGAAGGAAGACAUGGAACGGGGUCUCCCAGCGGUCCGGAACCCAGAAACUGGGGAGGUGACGACUGACUCCACCAGCAUCCUCGCCAUACUCGAAACCCACUUCCGAAAGCUGUCCGCCCCACCACGCGGCACCCGCACUGGGGACUUCCGACUACCCAGCAACACCACACGCGGCUACCCAUUUGAGAAGGCCGACGCAACAGAUCAAUUCACACUGGACCGCAACCGGCACCCUGACACACACUCCAUGCUCCCCAGCAUGGCAGACACGGCAAAUUUUGAGCAGUGCAUCUCUCACCUCUCCAGAAACAAGGCGACAGGCCCUGACGGCAUACCAAACGAACUGCUCCGUAUCCUGCCAUCAGGCAUGAAGCGCAACCUCCACUGUAUCCUGCAAAUCAUGUACGUCAAGUCACAAAUACCUGAAACCUGGGCCGCAUCGGAGACCGUGCUACUCCCCAAACCUGGAGACGCCCUGGACAUAAAAAACAAACGGCCCAUUGCACUCGCAAAUACCUGCUACAAGCUGUACACGUCCAUGCUUACCUUGGGCAUUGGUGAACUGGCUGGCCCCCUCCAGCUAUUCAGUGAAGCGCAGGAAGGCUUCCGUGCCUACUGCAACACCGAAAGGCAGGUCCUAAACUUAGUCCACGCCCUUGAGGAUGCCGCACUGUUUGGAAAAGAUGUCUAUGCAGUAUACGUGGACUAUAGCUCCGCGUUUAACACAAUCGACCAGGACCGAUUACUACAAAUUAUGUUUGACCUUGGGCUGCCAACGGACCUGAUCCGCGCAGUCCGCAACCUAUAUGCACAUGCGACCACCCGCAUCCGCACCGACCAUGGAAGCACAUCCGCCAUUCCUAUAGAGCGAGGCACCGUGCAAGGUGAUACACUCUCACCUGUGCUCUUUAUUCUGUUCAUGGAACCUCUUGUCCGCUGGCUCCAUGCGGGCGGACGGGGCUACCACUACGGCUGCCUGACCCCCAGCGAAAACCUGCAACACCACUGCAGUGCCGCCGCAUACGCAGACGACCUGGCGGCGCUCACCAACUCGCUCGACGACCUGCAGGUUCAAUGUGACAAAAUCGCAUCUUACGCCGAGUGGGCGAGCCUGCGUGUCAAUCACACCAAGUGUGCCACCACCGCCAUCUGGCACGACAAGUCUCGCUCGGACCCCAACCUUGACGGGCCCACAGGAAAAGCUACCCUUGCCGCCAUGCGCCGCAACAUGACCAACACAAUUAAGAUUGGCACGACCCCUGUCCCGUACUUCCCCCCGACCCAGCCGUACAAGUACCUGGGCGUGCAGCUCACUUUCUCGCUGGACUGGUCGGCACAUGUCGCAAGAGUCACCGAGAUUGUGAAAGACAAGGGCACAGCCAUCGCCACAUCCCUGGCAACGCCGGCACAACGCCUGCGCAUGAUACAACAGUGCGUGCACACCACAGUUGCAUAUGGGUUCGCAGCAAUGCCCUUCACAAAACAGGACAUAACAACGCUCGACACUACACUGGCUGGUUAUGCAAAGCGUUGCUAUGGGCUCCCCCGCAGCUUCCCCACCCGGACCUCCCUCCUGCCCGCCGACGAAUACGGCUUGGGCCUGGGCUCCCUCCUGCCGCAAUACGCGCGCGUGGCCGAGCGGGCCCUGGUCCUUGCCCUAAAUGACUCGGGCCGUCUUGGGAUAGUAACCCGAGCCCUUCUGCCGCGCCAGGCAAGCAUAGCUGGCUCCACACACGCCCACCUUCUCCCAGCCCAUAGGUCACACCACCUUACGACGCUGAAACAGAUGACCCUGGCAAAAGAGUACGGUGUCGUACUGUACCAAAACGGGUCUGCUUUUACAGCGCCUACCUGGUCCAUUGCCGCUGCCCUUGAGGCAGAAGCCGAGGCCCGGGGCGUUGAACCUCUUCCCGUUGAAUACGUCCUCCCUCUUGCGGACCUGAGGCUCGAACUGAGCCACCUGGUGGACCGCAACACAGGCAAACACCUGAUCACUAGCUCGGACCUCGAGAAGCACAUGGGGGCGAGCCGGGUCCGACACAAGCACAAGGUAGCCCUCAACAGGCUUAGCCUCGCGCUCAGUAUGGCUGGACGUGCAGGGGAAAACCCUCCAGCCCACGGCAGCCCUGCCCCCCUGACCACCGCACAACGCACUCUGCCCGACGUGGCCACAAUCAUAGCCUUAGCUAUGAAANNNNNNNNNNNNNNNNNNNNNNNNNNNNNNNNNNNNNNNNNNNNNNNNNNNNNNNNNNNNNNNNNNNNNNNNNNNNNNNNNNNNNNNNNNNNNNNNNNNNAGGACAUAACAACGCUCGACACUACACUGGCUGGUUAUGCAAAGCGUUGCUAUGGGCUCCCCCGCAGCUUCCCCACCCGGACCUCCCUCCUGCCCGCCGACGAAUACGGCUUGGGCCUGGGCUCCCUCCUGCCACAAUACGCGCGCGUGGCCGAGCGGGCCCUGGUCCUUGCCCUAAAUGACUCGGGCCGUCUUGGGAUAGUAACCCGAGCCCUUCUGCCGCGCCAGGCAAGCAUAGCUGGCUCCACACACGCCCACCUUCUCCCAGCCCAUAGGUCACACCACCUUACGACGCUGAAACAGAUGACCCUGGCAAAAGAGUACGGUGUCGUACUGUACCAAAACGGGUCUGCUUUUACAGCGCCUACCUGGUCCAUUGCCGCUGCCCUUGAGGCAGAAGCCGAGGCCCGGGGCGUUGAACCUCUUCCCGUUGAAUACGUCCUCCCUCUUGCGGACCUGAGGCUCGAACUGAGCCACCUGGUGGACCGCAACACAGGCAAACACCUGAUCACUAGCUCGGACCUCGAGAAGCACAUGGGGGCGAGCCGGGUCCGACACAAGCACAAGGUAGCCCUCAACAGGCUUAGCCUCGCGCUCAGUAUGGCUGGACGUGCAGGGGAAAACCCUCCAGCCCACAGCAGCCCUGCCCCCCUGACCACCGCACAACGCACUCUGCCCGACGUGGCCACAAUCAUAGCCUUAGCUAUGAGGCCCGACCCCCUCCCCCCUGGAAUGGCCAGCCCCCUCGACCGGCACCUCCAGCCCCUCCCGGAGGCGCCCCCCGCCCAAACAAACACCAUGCAAGCCCCCGCCGACCUGCCCCCCCCCUCCCCAGCAGGGGGGGGGCCAGGCCCAACCCGACGCACAUGGCCCUGCGGCCGCACCGGAAGCCCCUGCUGAUGGGGCAACGCAGCCCUCCCUACGACCCCCGGCCAGAGCCCGCAAGCCGGCUACAACCCGCCGGCCACCACAGAACCAAACACGCGCACGGCGCGUUACAAAACAUGCAGCGCAACGCGCACGCAUUGCAGAAACCACGCGCACUACCCCUGAGGACCUACUCACCGGGGACCGCGCCGCCAUCAACCAUGCCCUGCGGCUCACCAACGGCGAUGAGAGC
rnacentral:lncRNA from 1 species